CAAACAGCUGAAUUUUUUUUUUUUUUUUGUUUCCACAAUUUGAUUGAUUGAAGAAAUUUUCUCACAAAUUCCAAUAUAUGGAUCAUUUUCAAUUUGAUCAGUUCGAGUGUUUUUUUGUUCUCAUCAUCAACGAUCAUCAACAAUCAACAAUCAUUUCCAUUGUGAUCAUCGUCAAGUUCAACAGUUUGGUGGUUUUUUUUAUUUUUGUUAACUCUCAAAAUUUCAAAAUGGGACGAUUUGUAUUUAAUUGUAAAAAAUUUGCCAUAAUUUAUUGGACAACAUUGACAAUCGUAAUGACAAUAGGCGUUUUUAUUUACGUAUUAAACGAUAAAAAAUUGGCUGAAAUGAUACAAGAAAUAUUUCCAAACAUUUCUUCGGACGAAGUUAAUACUUUAGUGUUGAUUACUGCCAAUAUUUUUUUACUUUCCAGUAUUUUUGUAUCAUCAUUAGGUUUAUUUGGUGCAAUGAAAGAAAAUUUUUCCCUAUCACUUUUAUAUUUGGUAUUGAUUAUCAUGGAUUUUAUACCUAAAUUUAUAUUUGCCAUUAUGGAAAAAUUAUUCUUGAUUCCUAUACUUGUUUAUCUGUUCAUAAUCAUCAUAAUGGUUUCAUUUGUUAUUGAUUUACGUCGAAUGAAUAAUGGAAAUAAUUCCAUUUCAUCAUUGGCUUAAUUUAAUUUAUUUUCAUCAAUCAAUCAAUCAAUCAAUCAACCGACUAACUAACUGGCAAACUAACCGUUAUCAAUUUUUUUUCAAAUGUAUAACAAUUGUUCAUUGAUCAUCAUGAUCAUCAUUAAUAAGAAUGUAAUGCAACAAAAAAAAAUGCAACGUAUUUAUUGGAAUCAAAAUCAUUUUUUUUUUUGACGAUAAAUAAUUCUGUUGAUAAUCUGUUUACUUUAUUUCUCCUAUAUAUCAAGAUUCCACAUAUAUCUAUGUAAUCAAUCAACAGAGACGAUCAUCAAUAUAACUUUACGACGAUAAAUAAACAUGUUGCUUGUCUCUUAUGGUAACGUGAAAAAAAAGAAAUCACUUGUUGCAAUAAAACAGAAAAAUAAACGAAGAACCAUAAACUUGAUUGUGUGUGUGUGUAAAUCCUAAUCCCAUAUUCUCAUUCGCAAUUCAUUUGGUUUUCUGGUUUUUUUUCUGGCCAACAAAUAUCAACCAACAACAAAGUGAACCAAAAAAAAAAAAAAAAAAGGAUCCAUCAUUAAGUUUUAAAUGCAAAAAAUAUUCCAUCAUUAUUUUGACUUCAAUUUCAAUUUUAUUGACAUUAAUUGUUUUCAUUUUUGUUUUUGUAAUCACUGACAAAUUGGCUAUAAUUGUUCAUGAUCAAGAUCCAAAUAUAUCAAUCAAAACAGCCAAGAUUAAAUUAAUGAUUGCUAGUACAAUAUUUUCAAUCAUUUCGAUCGCUUUCGCAUUAAUUGGUUUAUUUGGUGCUAUAAAUGAAAAUUAUUGCCUAUCCAUUACAUAUUCAAUAUUAUGGAUCAUUGGUUUCAUCAUCAAUUCGGUGAAAGCAUUUAUUAUUGGACAAAUUUAUUGGAUACCUUUUAUUAUUGAAUUAUGUUUCAUUUGUUUAUCAGUGUUAUUUGUAUUAGAUUUACGUCGUAUGCAUGUAUAUGAAGAGAUAUGAUGAUUAUUAAAUAACAAGCACACACACACACACAGCAGAAUGUUAAUGAU